UACGAAGGGGGCGAGCGUUAUUCGGAAUCACUGGGCGUAAAGCGUGCGUAGGCGGUUUUGAAAGUUGGACGUGAAAGCCCAGGGCUCAACCCUGGAAUUGCUCUCAAAACUACAAGACUCGGAUUCGGGAGAGGAUAGCGGAAUUGUCAGUGUAGCAGUGAAAUGCGUAGAUAUUGACAGGAACACCAGUGGCGCAAGCGGCUAUCUGGACCGACAUCGACGCUGAGGCACGAAAGCGUGGGGAUCAAACAGG
rnacentral:rRNA from 1 species